UUAAACUGAAGAGUUUGAUCAUGGCUCAGAUUGAACGCUGGCGGCAGGCCUAACACAUGCA
rnacentral:rRNA from 2 species